GUGCUCAUUUUGGCAGCAUAUAUACUAAAAUCGAUAUAAUUCAAAGAUGAGCAUGACCCCUGCUCAAUAUUGACAUACAAACUCAUGAAGCAUUCUAUAUUUUU
rnacentral:snRNA from 1 species